AACAAAUUUAACUCUCCCUCCCAUUUUUAUUUGGCCAAAAUGAAAAUUAAUAAACAAAAAAAAAACACUCCAAGUCUCUGAAAGAGAUUCUGGUUGCCCUAGAUCUGAAAGUUUUCAAGGCUUUGUAAAAAUGGAUUCCCCCCCAAAUUAACAGGGACAUAGCAAUGAAGAUUAUAUCCUAAAGCUUCAUCACAUCGAAAGGGUUUUGUGGGAAUAGAGUUUAUCAGGUAUAACUACCUUUAAAAGUCUGAAUUUGUUGCAUCUGGGCUUAUGGCGUGGGAUGGAUUUUUAUUUUUUUGUGUUGUUGAUUUUUGGGAUUCCAGAUUGUAGUAGUAUUACACCCAUUAGUUGAUUCUUUGUCGUGGGCUAUAGUGAUUAAUUAAGCGUGAUAAUUUCUGUUUUUCCUUAAACUGAUAAGCUGAUUCGGAUUGAAAUCGUCCAUGAGAAUGUAGAUUUUCAUGUCAUGCCUAUUAGCAGUAUGUUGUUUCUGUUUUGCCUUUACUAGUUUACGGGCCCAAUGUUAGAAUGAAUUUUGUGUGCUUAAUUUUCACACAUAGACAUACAUAUGCAGAUGAUAGAUAUGAAAAUUAACAAAAAAGAGAUGCACAUCUACGUAGAAGAGUGACCACAUUAGCAGUAAUGAUAGUUGUUUUAUGGAUAUAUUAGAACUAAUCCAUUUGGAAAAAACAUUCCUAAAUAUAUGAACAAAUGACACCCCAUUAGAUCAAAGUUGAAACUUUUAAUGUUGUGAUAGCUCAUUGAUUGUGCAAGAUGAAAUGUUCCAGCAAGUAGAGUCACUGAUGUCUAAAGUACAAUUAUGUUUUUAUAACUUGAUUCUGGAAGGAUGAAAGAGAACUUCUAUUUUACCCCGUUGUAGGUCAUACACAUAUAUUUUACCCAGUUGCAGGUCAUACACUUCUAUUACUAGAUGGUGCUUGAUUUUUUUUUAAGUGUCUGGACAUGCACUAUUCAUCUGAUGUUUUUGCAAAGGCCAAGGGAUCAACAUAAACUACUUCAGUGUGCGCAUUCAUGUGAACCAACGUUGUCUACUUGUGCAAAUAACCUAUGGAUAAGACAAUAUUGAAACACACAAAAGAUGGUAUUACAUAAUACCCUUCUUCAUGUUUCCUAGAGAUUGUUAACUGUCACAAGUUCAGAACCAAGUUUUCUUUUCAUCUUAACUUUCUGGUUAUACUUAUUUAGGCAGAAUAACUAAAAACAGAACGAUCACUAGUGCAAUAAAUAAUAGAUCAAUCACUAGAGCAAUAGAUAAUAGAACAAUCUUAACUUUCCCCUUCUCCUAUGGUGAAAAUAGAUGCUAUUUAUUGGAUGGUUGAUGAAAAGCAUCCUGCAAAUGAUGGAGAUAAUCCACCUGUAACGUGUUGUGGAGUGUAUGUGAUUGUAUUUGACAUAAAAAAGGAAAAUUUUCAUGUGGUAUCACAUCCAGUAGAGAGAUGUGAUAGCCAGAUUUUAAAAGAAAAAUAUGCUCGGAAGCAUAUCUUAGAAACGGAAGGUUUGGUGUCAUUCUGCGCGAUAACUUGUCAUGUUGAAGACAUAGUAAAUAUGAAAUUCUGGGAUUUGGAAGAUCAAUACUAUUGGAGUCAACGUAGUGAGACAAUCAUUCUUGAUGGUAUGGGUGUUAGGCGAUUUCCCUUUACUGAUAGUAUGCAUUUUAAUGUAAAAGUUGUUGGCACAUUAAAUGGGGAAUUGAUAAUUAGUUGGUUGUGGAGAGUAGUCUUUGCAUACCAUCUCUGGCUAAGAACUGUACGAAAACUGGAGUUUCAUAGCAUGACAGGCUCCCAGUUUUGCUCUUGUGGCUUUACAGGUAAUCUGCAAUUAGAUAUAUGAUGCCAAGUUUUGCUCUUGUUUUGCUGACCCUUUUACUCUAGUUUUCACCAUUCUUAAAUUUUAAUGUUUGUAAGCAUUCUACAGCUGCUCUCUGCACCUCUGAAAAAACAAAUUCAAUCAACUCAACAGGUGGAGGGAUACAACCUUCAAUGCUAUAGUCACAAAAUAUAGAUAAAAUGAAAUCAUGCAUCUACAAGCAUAUUCAUACUGAACUGCAUGAAUAGUUCAAAAUUAUGAGCAUAACUUCUCACAAAGAGGAAUGGUGAUAGCUGAGGCCGAAGGACAUCAUAAUUUAGGUAUCUUAUGUACAAAAUUCUGCAAAACUUGAUGAAUAGCACACUGGCAAAUUGCAGUCAGACUGUCGAGACAUGAAAUCGGUCUCCAGCAGUCCAAGUCAUUACAUUUCCGAAAAGAAAUAGAUUUUUGGGAUCAAAACUAUUUCCGCUAUCCUACUAAUCUUGAAGUUUGAGCAGAAAAUAACAUCAGAUGUUGAUCAUCUUGUUCAGGUAUUGUUGGUCACCCAGAAAAAAUCAUCACAUUUUCUAAUGUUAAAUCUGUUAGCUGCAAUAACUUGUGUUUUGAAGAAGAAGCGCUUGAUUGACGGGAUUUUCUUGUCUUCAGUGGGUUGCAUGACCAUAUGACCCAUAGGGGAGUUUCCAACAAAAUAUGUAUGUCAAAGAUCUCCAAUGAAAGAUUCUAGGGUAGACUCAGCACACUUGCGCAAAUUCACUUCAGACUCAUCAACUUUUUUCAGGGAAAUGCCAGACAGGCUUUCCACUACCUUGUGUGGUACCAUGGGAAAGAAGAUAGAGUCUCAUCUCUGAUGCUAGAUGUAAUGACCGUUGAUAAUUAGUCUUAUCUGCUUUUGAGAUUCGA